CACCGCCCCAGGGCCCAGCCAGGGAUGGAGCAGGAAGUGAGGCCUCCACCGCCGAGCAGCACCCGGCCCGCCACCCCGAGGCAGUCCCUCCCAGAACCCGACGGGGAUUCGUGACAGGGCUGUGGGGACACAGGCUGACAGAGCUGUCAAUUGCCGCCGAGUCUUCUGGGAAACAUAGUCCUGAGCAAGACCUCAAAGGACUCGCAGCCGUGGAUGCACAGUUCGAAGCGUUGACAAGUACUAAACCCAAUUCUCGAGCUACCGGCCCCAGGAACCUGUUUGUUGCGGAGGGAUCUAAAUGUUGUUCCCCCAGUGUGGGAUCUGCAGAUGCGGAUCUUCUGGCCUCCCACGCCUACCUCUGAGCAGCCUUGUGCCCACAGCGAGGUCUCCUGCCCUCUGGCACAUCGCCCCUCCCCAGCACGGAGCAGCUCAGCCCUUUGGCCUCUGCGGCCUCUCUUCUGCCCACCCUUCCACCCCAUCUCGGCGGCCGGAGCCUGCUGGGUGUUUGCGCGGCGAGGUCCCAGGCCAACUCUAACUGGACAUAAGAAGGGUCCAGCAGAAGCCCUGAGUAGAAAACAGACGUUCCGCAUCCUUCCCUUGGCAUCAAACUCCCAGGACGUCCCCUUCUGUCUGGUUGGUAGCCAGAGGAGGCGGGCGAGGCCCCAAGUAUUCUGGGAAAUGUGCUAUUGGGCUGUAAACUGGGAGCUCCUGGGUCUCCUGUGAGAGCCAGAGGUCACUUUGGGCUGGCCCCUAGCUAAAAAAUAGUAACGCCUUUCCUUAAAGUGAAGAAAAUGUGCCUGUCUACUCUGUUGAUUCAGUGAAAUUUAGAAAAAGAAAAGAACAUUUUGUGAUGGAUUAUAAAACGCUUAGAAUUACCAGCCAUAGGGCUAACGUGGAAGAUACGUUUGAUGUCAAUUCUACCAUUCCUUCAACACACAUAGGGUGCAUUUUCCAAUGGAUAUUUAUUGGGAACUUUCUAUACUCAAGAUCGUUCUGGGAACUGUGGUUACUCGGGAAUCGUAUAUAACCACUGCCUUCAUGAAGCUCACAGCCCAAAAGGGGAGAUAAACCACAAAAGGUAUCAAAAUCCCAAGUAAUAUCUUGUCUUUUCUUUUUUUCCGAAGAACUGGGAGCACAAAAACCAAAUUUUUUUUUUAAGACAGGGUUUCACCAAAAUUGGUCAGGCUGGUCUCGAACUCCUGACCUCAGGUGAUCCACCCGCCUCAGCCUCCCAAAGUGUUGGGAUUACAGGUGUGAGCCACCGCACCCGGCCAAAUGUUUGGGUUUUUAAACCAAUACAUUUUGGGGUAAUUUGUUCCGGAAUAGUUCUGUUCCAGUAUAGCCAGUGGGAUCUUAGUUAUUUGGCUAUAGAACUGUAGUCAUCGGCCUGGCGCGGUGGCUUACGCCUGUAAUCCCAACACUUUGGGAGGCCGAGGCGGGUGGAUCAUGAGGUCAAGAGAUGGAGACCAUCUUGGUCAACAUGGUGAGACCCCCGUCUCUACUAAAAAUACAAAAAAUUAGCUGGGCAUGGUGGCGCGUGCCUGUAAUCCAGCUGCUCCGGAGGCUGAGGCAGGAGAAUUGCCUGAACCCAGGAGGCGGAGGUUGCGGUGAGCCGAGAUCGCGCCAUUGCACUCCAGCCUGGGUAACAAGAGCGAAACUCCGUCUCAAAAAAAAAAAAAAAAAGAACUUUAGUCAUCUGCAAGAUAACCACACAGCAUUUCGAAAAACUCUGUCCACUAUGAACAAAUGUCUGGUUAGCAGAGGUAGUUAGAUGUAGUUAGAUUUAGAUGAAAAUGAGGAAAGUGGAAAUCUCAGAGGAGCUCAGGAAACCUUGGGAUUGCCAGGACUCCCGUGACUGGAACACAGUUCAGGACCUGCAGAACUGAAGGCAUCUUCAGGCCCCUCGCUCUUUAAGGAAACCCACAUUGAGGACCUCUAUGUCUGGAGAACUGGGGAGACGAUCGCAUUACUCGAACUAGAGGCCUGAUGGACUUCUGCAACUCUUCAUGCUACAUAGGCUGGAAGUCUUGGAUGUGACCUCUGACCCUCUUGCUCAGUUCAGCUAUGACAGCCAGUUCUACUCUGCUACAACCACCGAAUGUUGACUCCAGGAUGCUCUGUGGAUCAGUUUCCUUCAGCACUUCAAGAAAGAAGUAGGCUACAAGUUCCAUUAUUUCAGCUUCCCUUCAACCUCUCUGGGGUUCCUAUCAUCACCCUUCCCAUCCCAUGGAUGAUAAUUUCCCUGGCCUACCUUUAACCAUGGAAGGCUGUCAAGAAGUGCAUUUAUAAGGAACUGCACUUGUUCAUAUUGCAAGAGAAACCUGACUACUGUUGUUUAUCUAGGUCAGGGAUUAUUUUUCUCAUAUAUCAAGCAGUCUAGAGAGGCCGGGUGCAGUGGCUCACCUCUGUAAUCCCAGCAAUCUGGGAGGCCAAAGUGGGUGGAUCACUUGAGGCCAGGAGAUCGAGACCAGCCUGGCCAACAUGGCAAAACCCUGUCUGUACUAAAAAUACAAAACAGUUGGCCGUGGCGGUGCAUGCCUAUAAUCCCCGCUACUCAGGAGGCUGAGGCAGGAGAAUCACUUGAACCCAGGAGGCGGAGGUUGUGGUGAGUCAAGAUUACGCCACUGCGCUCUGGUCUGGGUGACAGAGUGAGACUGUGUCUCAGAAACAAACAAAGCAACAACAACAACAAGAAGUGUAGAGAUUGGUAGUAAUGGCUGGUAAAGCAACUCCAGGUACAAGGACCUGGGUAUUCUCUGUCUUCCUGCUCUGCCAAUCUUGGUGGAUGGCUCUCGUCCUCAUGGUCACUUCCAGUUAUCAUGGCUGUAUUCCAGAAUAGAAUAUUGUUCUGCCAUAAAAUGUUAUUGUUACUGAAAUUAUGUCAUAGAGCAUAGACAAAUGAAAGAUGUAACAAAGUGCAUGGCAAAUCACAUGUGAAACAUAAUUCCAUUUGCCUGUGGGGAAUAUCCGUCACUUGUCUACCAGCACACUCUCUUUCUAGGGGAAAAAGCACUUGAUUCUUCUUUACAGAAAUGAACCCCAUGCAUGGUUCAGAUGGGACCUGCCAUCUGCUUCCCUGAUCCUUUCUCUCCAUCACAGGGUCUGGUUUGGAGGUGCACACUCAAUCCAAACCAAGCCGACUGCAGAUCUGUGCUAUCUUGACCAAGAUAAUUUGUCAAAGGGAGCACAGAUGACUCCUGCUGAGCCAAUCAGGGACCUUUCCUGGGACUUCGUAAGCUGGAACCAAAGGAAAAGGAUCUCUUCCCUUCCGGAGGUGAAGACAAGAAGAUGUGAGUGUGUAGACCAUGGCAGCCAUAUUUCCUGCCAGCUGAAUCGCAUUUCCAGAGGGCGAGAGGAAGGCAGAGACAGGGAAGCAGACAGCAGAAGCUGGGAAACUUUUGAGAGCAUUUUGAGUCCUGGGUCACUGAGGCCAGAAAUAACUCUGACUUUUCCUUUUUUAAUUUUUUAAUUUUUUUAUUGCAUCUUAGGUUUGGGGGUACACGUGAAGAAUGUGCAAGAUUGUUGCAUAGGUACACACAUGGCAGUGUGAUUUGCUGCCUUCCUCCCCUUCACCUGUAUCUGGCAUUUCUCCCCAUGCUAUCUCUCCCCAACUCCUUUUUCCUUAAGUUUGUUUUAUGAGUCAAUAAAUAGUCCCUUUGUGCCUAAGAUAGUUUGAGUGGUAAAGCCCAGGCAUUUGCAAUUCAAACAUUUCCCACUAAUGCACCAUCAUUUUUGUUUUAAGAAAAAAAUUUGGCUGGGCACGGUGGCUUACGCCUGUAAUCCCAGCACUUUGGGAGGCCGAGGCGGGCAGAUCACGAGGUCAAGAGAUCGAGACCAUCCUGGCUAACAUGGUGAAACCUCGUCUCUACCCAAAAUACAAAAAUUAGCUGGCCAUGGUGGCACAUGCCUGUAGUCCCAGUUACUCAGGAGGCUAAGUCAGGAGAAUCGCUUGAACCCAGGAGGUGGAGGUUGCAGUGAGCCAAGAUUGUGCCAAUGAACUCCAGUCUGGGUAACAGAGAGAGACUCUGUCUCAAAAAAAAAAAAAAAAAAAAAAAAAAAAAAUCCAUAUAUACAUAUAUGAAUAUAAAUAAAGUACAGGAAUACAUUUUGCUCAUCUGUGUUUUAAAUCUUCCUUAAAGAACACAUUAAUUUUGGGCUGGGCGCGGUGGCUCACGCCUGUAAUCCCAACACUUUGGGAGGCAGAGGCGGGUGGAUCACGAGGUCAAGAGAUCGAGACCG